GACGAACGCUGGCGGCGUGCUUAACACAUGCAAGUCGAGCGAGGCCCCUCCUUCGGGAGGGUGUCCUAGCGGCGAACGGGUGAGUAACACGUGGGCAACCUGCCCCCGGCUCUGGGAUAACUCCAAGAAAUUGGGGCUAAUACCGGAUAUGACCGCUGACCGCCUGGUCGGCUGGGGGAAAGAUUUGUCGGGUGGGGAUGGGCCCGCGGGCUAUCAGCGUGUUGGUGGGGUAGUGGCCUACCAAGGCGACGACGGGUAGCCGGGCUGAGAGGGUGACCGGCCACACUGGGACUAAGACACGGCCCAGACUCCUACGGGAGGCAGCAGUGGGGAAUAUUGCGCAAUGGGCGGAAGCCUGACGCAGCGACGCCGCGUGGGGGAUGACGGCCUUCGGGUUGUAAACCUCUUUCAGCAGGGACGAAGCGAAAGUGACCGUACCUGCAGAAGAAGCACCGGCCAACUACGUGCCAGCAGCCGCCGUAA
rnacentral:rRNA from 1 species